UCAGGAAUAUUCCUCAAUGGGCGAAAGCCUGAAGGAGCGACGCCGCGUGCAGGAUGAAGGCCUGCGGGUUGUAAACUGCUUUUACGAAGGAAGAACACGUGACGGUACUUCGUGAAUAAGAGGUUGCUAACUCUGUGCCAGCAGCAGCGGUAAUACAGAGACCUCAAGCGUUAUCCGGAUUUACUGGGCGUAAAGCGUCCGCAGGUGGUUUGAUAAGUCGGCGGUUAAAUUACGUUGCUCAACAAUGUAACUGCCGUUGAUACUGUCAAGCUCGAGGCUGGGAAAGGCAAGCGGAACUGCCGGUGUAGUCGUAAUAAGCGCUGAUAUCGGCAGGAACACCAAAGGCGAAGGCAGCUUGCUAGAACAUGCCUGACACUCAGGGACGAAAGCGUGGGGAGCG
rnacentral:rRNA from 1 species